rnacentral:rRNA from 1 species
UACGAAGGGGGCUAGCGUUGUUCGGAAUUACUGGGCGUAAAGCGCACGUAGGCGGAUACUUAAGUCAGGGGUGAAAUCCCGGGGCUCAACCCCGGAACUGCCUUUGAUACUGGGUAUCUCGAGUCCGGAAGAGGUGAGUGGAAUUCCGAGUGUAGAGGUGAAAUUCGUAGAUAUUCGGAGGAACACCAGUGGCGAAGGCGGCUCACUGGUCCGGUACUGACGCUGAGGAACGAAAGCUAGGGGAGCAAACAGG